AGAGUUUGAUCAUGGCUCAGGAUGAACGCUAGCGGCAGGCUUAAUACAUGCAAGUCGAGGGGCAGCGCGGGUAGCAAUACCUGGCGGCGACCGGCAAACGGGUGAGGAACAUGUACGCAACCUUCCUUUAACUGGAGGAUAGCCCAUCGAAAGAUGGAUUAAUACUCCGUAACAUACUGAUAAGGCAUCUUAUUAUUAUUAUAGCUCCGGCGGUUAAAGAUGGGCGUGCAACUGAUUAGAUAGUUGGUGAGGUAACGGCUCACCAAGUCAGCGAUCAGUAACUGGUGUGAGAGCACGACCAGUCACACGGGCACUGAGACACGGGCCCGACUCCUACGGGAGGCAGCAGUAAGGAAUAUUGGUCAAUGGACGCAAGUCUGAACCAGCCAUGCCGCGUGGAGGAUUAAGGCCCUUGGGUUGUGAACUCCUUUUAUCUGGGAAGAAAUGCAUUUUUUCUAAAGUGCUUGACGGUACCAGAGGAAUAAGCACCGGCUAACUCCGUGCCAGCAGCCGCGGUAAUACGGAGGGUGCAAGCGUUAUCCGGAUUUACUGGGUUUAAAGGGUGCGUAGGCGGAUAGGUAAGUCAGUGGUUGAAUCUCCCAGCUUAACUCG
rnacentral:rRNA from 2 species